UACGGGGGGGGCAAGCGUUGUUCGGAAUUACUGGGCGUAAAGGGCUCGUAGGCGGCCAAGUAAGUCAGGCGUGAAAUCCCUCAGCUUAACUGGGGAACUGCGUCUGAUACUGGUUGGCUUGAGUGCAGGAGAGGAAUGCGGAAUUCCAGGUGUAGCGGUGAAAUGCGUAGAUAUCUGGAGGAACACCGGUGGCGAAGGCGGCAUUCUGGACUGCAACUGACGCUGAUGAACGAAAGCCAGGGGAGCAAACGGG
rnacentral:rRNA from 1 species